rnacentral:rRNA from 1 species
CCUACGGGUGGCAGCAGUGAGGAAUAUUGGUCAAUGGGCGAGAGCCUGAACCAGCCAAGUCGCGUGAAGGAUGACGGCCCUACGGGUUGUAAACUUCUUUUGUCAGGGCGCAAUUGGGUCCACGCGUGGGCUUAGCGAGAGUACCUGAAGAAAAAGCAUCGGCUAACUCCGUGCCAGCAGCCGCGGUAAUACGGAGGAUGCGAGCGUUAUCCGGAUUUACUGGGUGUAAAGGGAGCUUAGACGGCAGCACAAGUCUGGAGUGAAAUCCCGGGGCUUAACCCCGGAACUGCUUUGGAAACUGUGCGGCUGGAGUGCAGGAGGGGUAAGCGGAAUUCCUAGGGUAGCGGUGAAAUGCGUAGAUAUUAGGAGGAACACCGGUGGCGAAGGCGGCUUACUGGACUGUAACUGACGUUGAGGCUCGAAAGCGUGGGGAGCAAACAGGAUUAGAUACCCGGGUAGUC